rnacentral:rRNA from 1 species
CCUACGGGAGACAGCAGUCGAGAAUCAUUCACAAUGGGGGAAACCCUGAUGGUGCGACGCCGCGUGGGGGAAUGAAGGUCUUCGGAUUGUAAACCCCUGUCAUGGGGGAGCAAAUUAAAAAGAUAGUACCACAAGAGGAAGAGACGGCUAACUCUGUUCCAGCAGCCUCGGUAAUACAGAGGUCUCAAGCGUUGUUCGGAAUCACUGGGCGUAAAGCGUGCGUAGGCUGUUUCGUAAGUCGUGUGUGAAAGGCGCGGGCUCAACCCGCGGACGGCACAUGAUACUGCGAGACUAGAGUAAUGGAGGGGGAACCGGAAUUCUCGGUGUAGCAGUGAAAUGCGUAGAUAUCGAGAGGAACACUCGUGGCGAAGGCGGGUUACUGGACAUUAACUGACGCUGAGGCACGAAGGCGAGGGGAGCGAAAGGGAUUAGAUACCCGGGUAGUC